rfam:Myotis davidii contig5724, whole genome shotgun sequence.
GGCAGUUCUUGGGUGAUGCACCCUGGAAUCAGGCUCCCUCCUCUCUGUUUCUGGAAUGUGUCACCCAAGAACUGCC